UACGAAGGGGGCUAGCGUUGCUCGGAAUUACUGGGCGUAAAGCGCACGUAGGCGGAUUGUUAAGUCGGAGGUGAAAUCCUGGAGCUCAACUCCAGAACUGCCUUCGAAACUGGCGAUCUUGAGUUCGGGAGAGGUGAGUGGAACUGCGAGUGUAGAGGUGAAAUUCGUAGAUAUUCGCAAGAACACCAGUGGCGAAGGCGGCUCACUGGCCCGAGUACUGACGCUGAGGUGCGAAAGCGUGGGGAGCAAACAGG
rnacentral:rRNA from 1 species